rnacentral:RNase_P_RNA from 1 species
GGAGAGGGAGGGCGGCCGACGGUAGGGCGCAAGCCCAGCUGAGGAAGGUCCCCCCUCCAUGAGAUGGUGGGCCACGCGAGUGGCUUGGUGAGAGCCAAGGCAAGGGCGCAGAAACGACACAGCCUUGACCGAGAAUGAUCCGCCCGGCGGUGACGUUGGUCUAGGAUAUGGUGAAACGGCGACUCCCCACCGGAGCAAGCCCAAACAGUCGGAGUGACUACUCAGGACCGACGGGUAGGGUGCUUAGUUGAAUGCUGCCUGAAACAGAAGGGGGCCUACUACCCUCACC